UUAAGAAUUUAUUGUUUUAUUCAAGAUGUUUUAUGAGGUAUAAUUUAAGUAAAAUUUAAUUAGGUUGAUUUUAGUAAAAAAUUGAAGAAAUUUUUUGUGCAAUAGAAAAUUUGUACCGUUAGGGAUGUUAUGAUUUAAAUGGGAAGAAAAAUUUUAUUUUGUACCUUUUGUAUCAGGGUUUAUUAAAAUAUGUUAAGAUUAUUAAAUCUCGAAUUUAUAAGAUUUUUUUAAUUAUUAUUUUCAUUGUUGAAUAAUUGUUUUUAAUAUUUAAAAGGUAAUGAAAUGUUAUCGGGUAUAAAGAUAUCUAGUUUCUUAAGAAUUAAUUAAAUUAAUUAAUAUUAUGUUGAGUUUGAAUUAGUUGUUUGUCAGUAGAAUAUUUAAUAUUAUGUAGGGGAUAAGCUUUAUAUAAUUUUAAUAAUAGAAUUUUAUUAUAUGUUAUUUAGGCUUUAAAUUAGCUUUAAUUGAAAAGUUUUUUAUAAAUUAACAUUGAUUUAGAAAGAUUUAGUUUUAUUUUAAUUUAAAAUUAAGAUUAUGCUUUUAAUUGGAGAUGGUAUGGAAUAAUGAUGAAAUUAGUAUAAUUAUUUGUUAAGGUAAAAUAUAUGGAAAACUUAUUUUUGGGAAUUCAACAAAUAUAAUUUCCGCCUGUUUAACAAAAACAUGUCUUUAUUUUUUAUAUUUGAUGUAAAGUCGGGCCUGCACACUGUGAAAUAUGAAGAGCCGCGGUAUAUUGACCGUGCAAAGGUAGCAUAAUCAUUAGCCUUUUAAUUGGAGGAUAGAAUGAAAGGUUUGAUGUGAAAUUUAUUUUCUUAGGAUAAAAAAUAGAAAUUUAUAUUUUAGUUAAAAAGCUAAAAUGAAUAUAAGGGACGAGAAGACCCUAUAGAUUUUUAUUGAUUUUAUUAUUAAAGAUUAAGAUAAAAUAUUUUAAUAGUAAUAUUAAUUUAGUUGGGGUGACGGAAAGAAUAAUAAAACUCUUUUUUAACCUAACUUGAAUAAGAGGAUUAUUGAUCCAAUAAAGUGUUGAUUAUAAGAAUAAAAUACCUUAGGGAUAACAGCGUAAUUAUUUUUUGGAGUACGAAUCUACAAAAUAGAUUGCGACCUCGAUGUUGAAUUAAGAUAAAUUAUUGAUGUAGCAGUUAAUAUUUGCGGUCUGUUCGACCUUAUAUAUCUUACAUGAUUUGAGUUCAGACCGGCGUGAGCCAGGUCGGUUUCUAUCUUUAUAGAGUGAAUUGUUUCUUAGUACGAAAGGACCAGUUAUGAAAAUAAAAUUUUUAAAAAGAUUAAGGUUAAAU
rnacentral:rRNA from 1 species